GCCUGUCUUUGGCCCAGGGCGCGAUCCUGGAGACCCGGGAUCGAAUCCCACGUCGGGCUCCCGGUGCAUGGAGCCUGCUUCUCCCUCUGCCUGUGUCUCUGCCUCUCUCUCUCUCUCUCUCUCUCUGUGACUAUCAUAAAUAAAUAAAUAAAAAUUAAAAAAAAUAAAAUAAAAAAUAAAAUUUAAAGAAGAAAAAAUGAUACAUUGGACUUCAUCAAAAUUUAGGGUUAGAUUUCAACAAACUUACAUGAUGCUCAGCAUCAUUCAAGAUGGCGGGAAAGCAAGUUACAGCCACAGGAAGGGGCCACAACAACCCACCUAGAAUGGAGCAGCACCAAGAAUGUGCUGUCAGAGUUGAUCAGAGCUGGUCAGAGCUGGUCGGAGCUGGUCAAUGCUAGUCGGAGCUGGUCAGAGCUGGUUGGAGCUGGUCAGCAGAGUUGUGUCCAUUGUGGUAGGGUGGAAGUGGGAAUGGAGGUGAUGCCAUGCUGGCACACAGCAGGCAGUACCUCUGUGGAAAUGAGCAGGCCUCACAGGAGUGGCGUCCCACCCUGGGUGCUCCCCAGAGGUGGCAUGAUGCACCAGCUCCUGCAGCUGCCACCCCUGGCACAGACUGCGGCUUCAGUGAGGAACAGAGGAUCUCACCAUCUGUAGGUUGGGAGUCUGAGGUCCAGGUGUCAAGGUUGGGUUCUUCUGAGGCCUCUCUCCUCUGUGCACCUGCGUCCUCUCUGCCUGCGCAUAAACCUGUCACAGAGGUUGGCUGCCUGGUGGCCUCACUCAGUGUGCUCCCUCCGUACAGGCCCCACCGCCCAAGCAGGUGCCCUCAGGGUGCCCAGGGGUCGGGGCACUGGGAGGGAGGCACUCUCCCGCAGGGACCCCUUCCCUGGACCCAGGGCCCAGGCACCCUUGCUCAAAACGAGCUAAUAAUGGACAGAUUUUGUGUAAGAAGAAGCUCAUGUCAAGCACGCCUUUGUUUCUCAUGCUAUGAAUUCUCGUUUACACCCUCACAGGAAGCGGAUGGUAACCCGACUGUGUUGGUACUCGGCAGACCUAGGCAGAAGGUGCUCCUGUCGCUGUCGGGGUCGACAAACCUGAGCUCUGCCUCCAGCACCAGCCCGGAGAACUCCUUAUUGCCCAAGGUUUCAAAGGAAGAAUAAGGAGAAAUAAGGCAGCCCAUGAGAGGAGACAGUGCCAAAUUUGUAGAUUCAGCCUAAGGUAAGAUACCCAUGUUUUGGGUGUUCAGAUCAACCCAAGUUUGACUCUCUAAAGAGUUAAAUAUUUUCUAUGGAAAAAAAAAAAAAAGGAGAGAUAACCAAUGGAUGAUCCCGGGUGGGACACUUGUGUUCUCAGUGACACAGAGGACAAGCUUGAGUUCAUAUAGAACAUGGGUGCCUGACAUCCCAUGCUCACCCGCCUCCUGCUCUGCAGAUACAAGAGGUGGGGCCAACACCUAGCAGAGGCAUCAGCUGGGAGCUGGCCCUGGGCGUCCUCUGUGUGACCACCAGUCUGAGCUGUGGACCCCAGAGAGCAGUGGUGGCCAACUAGUGGCCAACUCACUAGUGUGCACACAGAGCAAGGGCCACAGACAGUUUGAUGAGCACUAGAACAGAAGGGCUGAGGGGCUCUGUAGAAGCUCAGACCCGGCCACCCAGGUGCUGUCUGCCAAAGUGCCCAGUGAUGGCGCUGUCUGCCCACGUGAUCCUUGCGGGGUGCUUCUGAACAGUGCUACCUCAUCGAAGAUGUUUACCACGGUAACGCCUCCCCUCAGAGUACACGGUGCUUGAGUAUGUUGGCCUCUUACCAUGCCUGUGGCAUGGAAUCAGUAGCUCCUGGAAAAGGAGGUAGAGGCUGAAAGGGUGAGUUUUUUUUCUCUAUGAUUCUGGAGAGGACUCAAGUUAGGUUUUAAGGAUCAUAAAAUACAAACCAGUGGCGUAAGUGACAGAGAGCCUGCCUCAGGUCCACUCACAUGGCAGCUUGGCUCCCAGGUAGACUGACAGCUGGGAGCUGUGUGCUUGCCACUCAUGGGGUGCAGGCGCUCCAGACUGGUGAGGAGCUGGGGAUCCUCAGGCCAGGGGCAGAGGCAGAGAGACCCAAAGAGAACUCCGCCAUGGGCACCGCUUCCCCUGGGGGGCUACAUCUUCCCAGCUUUCCAGGAGGGAGCCAGAAGACCAAGCUCAGAGCACAGCCAGAGUGGCAGGCAAGGGGGUGAUCCCAUAAAGUUGGGACUCAAAUGGCUAUCCCUGGAUUGUCACUCUGAUGGAAUGCAAGAGUAACCAGCCAUCUCAAGCCUCAGAGCUGAAGGGAGCUGAGAAAAAUCUCUGCCAACAGCUUGGAAGGACAGACUGUCCCUGACUUGAUCCCUAGACUCCUCAGGCUGAGGAUUAGCAGGUGCUGGGAGGCACCAGGAAGAAAUAAGCCGCUCUCCCCCAACGUGGCUGCAGACACAGACACACAAGGGCGUGGGGCAGGGGCUCGGGGACAAAAGGCAGAGUAACUGUGCUUAUUGUUUUGGGAAACAAAAGGCAAAGUGAAAAACAUCUGAUGAGGACAGAAAACUUGUUUAAUUUACGUGCGUAUUUGAAAAAAACAAAACUUAGGGCUCACAGUUCACUGAGGCAUUUAGCGGCAUGGAACACAGCUGGAACCUGGGAGCAUGACCCCAGAGCUGGAGGGUUCCGUGGCCAAACAUGGAGGCUGGUGAGCAAAGCUGGGCCAGAUCUGUGGUGUGAUCUGUCCCAGCAAUGGGGGGAGGUGUUUAUGGGUGGAGAGCCCUGCGCUGCCCUAGCUGCCAACCCACAGGUCCUAUGAUCUGAUGAGCCCAGGAAUGGUGAAUGAGAUUCUAGAUACACCCUGAGUCCACCGGCAAAUACCAGAGACAAAAUGCGUAUUUUUAGAUACCCAGCAAUACAAGUCAGAGUCCCUUCCGGGGUCUAUCGAUUAACUCCCCUCAUCCCAGUGGAAGCCUUUACUACGGUGGGGCUGCUAGCCCGGGGCGCCCUUUCUGGCUGACAAACCUCUUAGGAUGCAGGUGGAGUAGGCAUUUCUACAUCAGUAAGGAAUGUUAGCAAAUGAAAAGAGACCAUGUUCAAUAGCAGGUUUUUAAAAAGAUUUUAUUUAUUUAUUCAUGAGAGACAGAGAGAGGCAGAGACACAGGCAGAGGGUGAAGCAGGCUCCCUGUGGGGACCCCAAUGUGGGGACUCAAUCCCAGGACCCCCGGGUCACACCAUGAGCCGAAGGCAGAUGCUCAACCUCUGAGCCACCCAGGUGACUCUUCAAUAGUGUUUUUAAAAUGAGGUCCCUGGGAAUAAAUUGAACAAAAGAUAUGGAAGACUUGCAGAGAAAACAAUGAAACUUAACGAGAACAUUGUGAGGAGCCCUAAGGAAUGCAGACAGACAUGGCCUAUGGAGCUGACGCCUGGAGACGCCAGGCCCCACAGCGUGGCUGCUGCAGGACACCAGCCCCAGAAGCUGCUUCUGAUGUGUGUGUGGGAUUGUGCAGAUCCUGGAGAGGAAGGACAAUUCAGGACGGCGAGCGCGCCGUUUUGAGACCUCUGUGCAGUUACCCGUAGAGCCCGGCAUGGUGGCUUGCAGAUGCCGGGGCCUCUCCGCCUGUGAGCACACGGACACUGAGUUUCAGGCAAGGCUGACUGAUGACUGAUGAGCAGGGCUGGGCAGGUUUUAAUAAAUGCUGCUGGAAAGUUUGGUGCCACGUGGGAAAAACUCUAAUGAAAUUAGACCCUACCUCACACUCUACACAAACUAAUCUCACAUGGACUAAUGACAUGAAGGGACAACUGUAGAAACUUGAAGAUAGUGUCGAGUGUAUCUUUCUGUCCUCGUCGUAUCUGAGGAUGUGUGCAGUAAGGUUUUCUUAAAGGUGCUAACCACAUAGGGACGCAGGCAUGCAGUAGACCACACGGAAACGAAGGACUUCUGGAUACAUCGAAGGGUCUCAUCAAAGAGUGAGAAGUCCCACCAAAAACUGGAAACACAUUUGUAAGUGACAAAGGACUAGUAUCCACAAUACGUAAAGGAGUAUGACUAACGAUGACAAGCACCUCACAGAAGAGAGGACCCGGAGGCCAACAAACAGGAAGAGAACUUCACCGUCCAGGUCAUCAGGCUCAAAGCCACGUGUGGUGGCGUGAUGUCCCCGUCGCAGGAGCAGGUGUUGGUGUCACAUCACCAAGGAUGGCGGCCGCAGGCUCCCACAGCUGCCCGAGGCCGUCAGCCCCGUGCUAGGGAGGAUGUCUGGAAAGACACCCACCCUCUGCUCCAGGAGCCCAGCACUGGUCGUGGGGGCUGCCGCGACGCCUCGACAAGAGGCCCACAUGGGGACGCCCCCACGAGGCCACUGCAGGGCGAGUCUCCCAGCACAGUGUCUGUGGGCACCUGUGGUAGGUCCUGGGGGUCCUCGCGUGUGCUGUGACUCAGGUCAUCCCUGUGAACAUACAGCACUGCAUUACCCCCUCCCGUGGGUGGGAUGUGUCUCACAGAAAGUGCCCCCUGGGCGGUGGGGCAGGCAGGGGUGGGCAGGGGUGGUGGGGCAGGGGAGCCUGGCAGGGGAGGACUGUUCUCCCUGACUGCAGUGUGAGGCCAGCCGCUUCCCCUCCC
rnacentral:lncRNA from 1 species